rnacentral:rRNA from 1 species
AGGCUUAACACAUGCAAGUCGAGCGCCCCGCAAGGGGAGCGGCAGACGGGUGAGUAACGCGUGGGAAUCUACCCUCUACUACGGAAUAACGCAUGGAAACGUGUGCUAAUACCGUAUGUGUCCUUCGGGAGAAAGAUUUAUCGGUAGGGGAUGAGCCCGCGUUGGAUUAGCUAGUUGGUGGGGUAAAGGCCUACCAAGGCGACGAUCCAUAGCUGGUCUGAGAGGAUGAUCAGCCACAUUGGGACUGAGACACGGCCCAA